AUGGGCUCCACGCUCCUCUGCUGUUUGUCCUCUGCCUCCUGGGAGCAGUCCCCCUGGACACGGCAGUUUCCCAGACUCCAAAACACCUCAUUGCACAGACGGGAAAUAAGAAGUUCCUAAAAUGUGAACAAAAGCUGGGCCAUGAUACCAUGUACUGGUAUAAGCAGGACUCCCAGAAAUUGCUGAAGGUCAUGUUUAUCUACAACAAUAAGGAACUCAUUCUAAAUGAAACAGUUCCAAGACGCUUCUUACCUGAAUCCCCUGACAAAACUCGUUUAAACGUUCACAUCGACUUCCUGGAGACAGAUGACACUGCCGUGUAUCUCUGUGCCAGCAGCCUAGACACAGCCCUGCAAAGUCUUUACCUCCCUGUGUAUAAACCCCCUGCCCAGCCAGGAAGCUGUGUGGGACACAGGUUCACUAGACCCUGA